rnacentral:rRNA from 1 species
UACGUAGGUGGCAAGCGUUGUCCGGAUUUACUGGGCGUAAAGAGCGCGCAGGCGGUCGUUCAAGUCGCGUGUGAAAGCCCCCGGCUCAACUGGGGAGGGUCACGCGAUACUGAUCGACUCGAAGGCAGGAGAGGGAAGUGGAAUUCCCAGUGUAGAGGUGAAAUUCGUAGAUAUUGGGAAGAACACCAGUGGCGAAGGCGGCUAACUGGUCCGGUACUGACGCUGAGGUGCGAAAGCGUGGGGAGCAAACAGG